rnacentral:rRNA from 1 species
AGAGCGAACGCUGGCGGCAGGCCUAACACAUGCAAGUCGAGCGGCCGUAGCAAUACGGCAGCGGCAGACGGGAGAGUAACACGUGGGAACGCGCCCUUCGGUUCGGAAUAACUCAGGGAAACUUGGGCUAAUACCGGAUACGCCCUUACGGGGAAAGAUUUAUUGCCGAAGGAACGGCCCGCGUCCGAUUAGCUAGUUGGUGAGGUAAAAGCUCACCAAGGCGACGAUCGGUAGCUGGUCUGAGAGGACGACCAGCCACACUGGGACUGAGACACGGCCCAGACUCCUACGGGAGGCAGCAGUGGGGAAUCUUGGACAAUGGGGGAAACCCUGAUCCAGCCAUGCCGCGUGAGUGAUGAAGGCCCUAGGGUUGUAAAACUCUUUCGGCGGGGACGAUAAUGACGGUACCCGCAGAAGAAGCUCCGGCUAACUUCGCGCCAGCAGCCGC